ensembl:lncRNA
GUGGCUAGAAGAACUAGUUCCAGGCUAGUCUGGGCAAAUUACUGAGACUCUAAUUCAUGUGGGUUCUUUUGUUUUGUUCUCUCUCUCUCUCUCUCUCUCUCUCUCUCUCCUCUCCUUUGGAGAUAGGGUCUUUGCUGUGUUACUCUUGGGCUCAGGAAAUGCUCCUACAUGAGCCUCUUUGGCUCAACUCAUGUUUUCAUUCUACAACUUGUAUUUGCUGGUGGUAAAAUUUUCACUUAGGAAGUGGAAAGAAGCUAACUGUCCGGCAUGAUGGAUUCCUGAGUUUCCAAAACGGCUGGGCUGAAAGGGAUCUCGAAAAAAUAACCGCUGCCACAUGCCCCGUGCCAGAACUGGUUACUUUCUUGAACACUUUUAACCCUAAUUCUGCCUGGAGGUGAGUAUUAAUCACACCCCCUUUUGGGUAAGAAACUGAGGUUUGAUGACUUCUAAUGUGGAAAGGAGAUUUUGUAUAUUCCGAGGUCUUCUUCCUUUGGUCUGCACCACGUGUAAGGUAUCAAUUUGCAAAGGUUUAGGAUAGAAAGCAUCGUGUGCGAGAGGUCCAGUCUUUAUAAGGAACAACAACGUGGGUAUACUUUUCAGAGAGAACCACGCCUCCCUUGUCGCGACAAUAUUGGUUACGGUUGCUUUCUUUUAACAUAUGAAAUCCUCACCAUCGGAGAAGGCGGACAUUCUAUACUCCCUGAUCACUCCGAUGUUUCUCUCUCACCCGCACUGAUUCCCACAGGUGACAUCAAUUCUCCGCCACCGGAGAAUGAAAGCUUGGGACUACAUUUCCCUGCAAGCCCUUUAGAAAAGGAGGCCAAGAGCAAAGAGACUUUCCGUUUCCGUCCGCUUGCAAUUUGGCGUGUUCGCAGUGAUACAUAUUUCAACAGUAGCGUCCUUUCUCUGUACAACUAAAGCAGAGACUACAUACCCCAGCAGGUACUGGCACCAAGGGCAAGCGACUAGGUUGCCAUCUCUGCAGUAGUCCUUUGCUACACAUCCGCCGAGAAUAGUCUUAGCGGGUGGACUACAAAUCCCAUAGCAUCGUCUGCUCCUUCACCCUCCAUCUUUGUGGUAGUCUCCGCCCCGCUGACUUCCAUUGUCUCGACAGAAGAUAAAAGAGAGGAACUGGGAAGACUACAAUUCCCAGCUGGCUUUGCACCAUCGAGUGCGGGAUUUUGAUAGUUCAGGCGGGCGAGGAGCUCCAAGUGGUAGAAUGAAGCGAGCAGGAAAGGUUAGGUAUCCUGCCAUCUUUUCGGUAGUCUCUUUAUCCUCCGGGUUCUGGCAUUCUUAAAGGAACAUAGGAAGGGUAGAAAACUACUAUUCCCAUCCCACUUCAUAAGAUCGACUUAUUAGGUGUACGCCCCUCGUUCGCCAUCUUGCUUGUAGUCCUCG